ensembl:ribozyme RNaseP_nuc Nuclear RNase P
GUGGUAGGAAGUUCACUGUAGAGGUUACAAACUGAGUGUUCAUCACUAUGCAUUCACCUCGGGGAAGGUCUGAGACAUGAGCCAAUCGCUGCUCUAGCAGGGCAUCAUCUGAAUGAUGAGCGAGUGCACAGACACGUGGGUCACACUGUGGUGUUUCGCACGAGACGUUGAUUUGCAAAAUAGCUAAUCAAUCGAUGCGAUCCCAGUUGAUUUGGAAACACUCGCGGCUGGCGGAUUGAGUUCGAUGUGUGAACCAGCGCUACGGGCUGGAACCCAAUUCAGACUACUCUCCUACCAC